rnacentral:rRNA from 1 species
UACGUAGGGUGCGAGCGUUAAUCGGAAUUACUGGGCGUAAAGCGUGCGCAGGCGGUUCGUUAUGUCCGAUGUGAAAGCCCCGAGCUUAACUUGGGAAUGGCAUUGGAAACUGGCGGGCUGGAGUGCGGCAGAGGGGGGUGGAAUUCCACGUGUAGCAGUGAAAUGCGUAGAGAUGUGGAGGAAUACCGAUGGCGAAGGCAGCCUCCUGGGCCAACACUGACGCUCAUGCACGAAAGCGUGGGGAGCAAACAGG